UACAGAGGGGGCAAGCGUUGUUCGGAAUUACUGGGCGUAAAGGGCGCGUAGGCGGCCUUCUAAGUCGAACGUGAAAUCCCUGGGCUCAACCCAGGAACUGCGUCCGAUACUGGAAGGCUUGAAUCCGGAGAGGGAUGCGGAAUUCCAGGUGUAGCGGUGAAAUGCGUAGAUAUCUGGAGGAAUACCGGUGGCGAAGGCGGCAUCCUGGACCAUAACUGACGCUGAGGCGCGAAAGCUAGGGGAGCAACGGG
rnacentral:rRNA from 1 species